ACAUGCUUACAACAUAUCGUUAAUGCACUAGAUCCCAUUAGAAAUUCAUAGUUAAGCAUGCUCGGGCUAUAGUAGUACUGGGAUGGAUGACCUAUUGGGAAUUCCUAGUAUUUUUCAUGCC
rfam:Picea glauca, whole genome shotgun sequence.